GGGAUGUUGGCUUGAUCCAGCCGGGAAAGCCUUAACGGCGCGGGAUGGGGUCGCGUCCCAUUAGGUAGACGGCGGGGUAACGGCCCACCGUGCCCGCGAUGGGUAGCCGGACUGAGAGGUCGACCGGCCACAUUGGGACUGAGAUACGGCCCAGACUCCUACGGGAGGCAGCAGUGGGGAAUUUUGCGCAAUGGGGGAAACCCUGACGCAGCAACGCCGCGUGCGGGACGAAGGCCUUCGGGUUGUAAACCGCUUUCAGCAGGGAAGACUUUGACGGUACCUGCAGAAGAAGCUCCGGCUAACUACGUGCCAGCAGCCGCGGUAAUACGUAGGGGGCGAGCGUUAUCCGGAUUCAUUGGGCGUAAAGCGCGCGUAGGCGGCCGCCUAAGCGGAACCUCUAAUCCCGGGGCUCAACCUCGGGCCGGGUUCCGGACUGGGCGGCUCGAGUGCGGUAGAGGCAGGCGGAAUUCCCGGUGUAGCGGUGGAAUGCGCAGAUAUCGGGAAGAACACCGAUGGCGAAGGCAGCCUGCUGGGCCGCCACUGACGCUGAGGCGCGAAAGCUGGGGGAGCGAACAGGAUUAGAUACCCUGGUAGUCCCAGCCGUAAACGAUGGAUACUAGGUGUGGGGGGACAGUCCCCCCGUGCCGCAG
rnacentral:rRNA from 1 species